AGGAAAGGUCUUAUUAUAUAUUAUAAUCAGAAAUAAAUUUCAUUGAAAUAUUACUUACUUAUUUCUGGGUAUCAUGCUUCAGAGAACCAUGAUGUGUUACAAUACGCUCCGCUCUUUAAUUUUAGUUUAGUAGAAAAUAUUCUCAAAACCUGCAUAUAUCAAAAUUAUGUCAGGGUUCUAAAAUGAAUCGGUAAUAAAAUCGUAAACCAGAUCAACAUUGGAAAUAAUUUAAAAAAUUUGCUUUGGUCCGAUUGAAAAAAGUACUAUACUACCAAAUAGUUACAUCUAUUCUGUAGCAAUAAAAGUUAUAAAAUUCUGUCUAUUAUUAAUUUUAAUAUUAAAAAGUGUAUCGUUUAACUCUUAGCCAUUAUUUACAAUUUAAUUGUUAAUUAUGCCUAAAAAAACGAAUUAACAACUUUGGUAUUGUUUGGAAGGUAAACAGCUUAAUUCCUUUAUGUAAAGCCACCUUAACAUGUUUUUGCAUAAUUCUGACUCACCUUGGUUGCUAUCGGGCUUAAGCCAUAAAAAUCGAAGAAAAAAAGAAGAAGACGAAGAGACUUUCACUUGUCUUAUCAAUGUCACUUUCCGGCCCACAAGCAUAAACGCCACCGGCAACGGAAGUUCCCAAAAUCCAAACAAAUGUUGGAAGAUAUUUUUAAGUCUCCGCAUCUUUCUUACUUUCCUAUAUGAAAAUAAAAUGUAAGUAUCACAAUUACACACAUACAAGUUUUUUUUUUUUAAUUCAGUUUCAUAAUUACCAAUUUUUAGUGAAUAAUCCUGAAAUUUAUGAAAAUACAUACAUUUUAAGGUUAUGUCAUAAUGUUUUGAUUGUUAUAUUUGAUUUUGUUUUUGUUAUUUUAGUGGACUACACCAACAAAGGUUAUGUGUUUUGCACCAGAUUGAAAGCAUCAUAGCGAAAAACGGACCUGUCAUAUCUUUAAAUUUUCAAAAGAGCCCCUGGAAAAAGAAAAAUGAAUAUCUUUGCCAAUGAAUAGGCAAAUGGAUAAAAAACCUUCAGUCCAUGCAUUGGUAUGUAAUUGUUGACAAAAAUACAAUGAAUGGCCUCACUACUUUUCCACAUGCAAAGAGGUUAACCAAGGAGAAAUUAAAGAAAUUGUCAAAAACCUAGGUAAAUACAGAAUUGCUUAGUACAAACAUAUCUAUACCCAGUACAAGUUCGUCCACUUCUUUGAAGCAUGGUACUUCAAACAGAAACACUGUCAACAAUUUUGUAGAAGGUGAGCCGGUGUCAAAUUCCAGUAAGGGACAUGAUUUCAAUUUUGCACCAACAGCAGAGCUAAAAUUCAUUUUGCCGCAAAAAACUGGAGGAUGUGAAAGAAAAAAGUGCAGAAGUUAAAAUUAAGUUUUUCAUAUGAGCACAUAAAAAAUAAUCAUGACAAAGUUCAGUUGUAUACAGGUUUGACAUGUAAUAAAUAUUUUUGUAAUCUUAUUAAGUUAAUUAGUUUUAUAUAUUAUUUAAAUAAUAAUUGUAUACUUCACAUAGAAUAUGCAGAAAUUAUAUGUACAUAUAUAAAUUUUUUUAUUAAGAUAAGGACAACAUGUAUUAAAGCAUAACACAUAAUAUAAACACACACGUAAUAUCUUCAUUAAAAAUUAUGAUUGUAUGUUAUGUAGCAUUAGAGCCUAAAAACAUUAAGGAGAAUAAAGGUCGUUAUUGGCAAA
rnacentral:lncRNA from 1 species